UGUGAAAGAAGUGGAAUGAGAAGAAAAGAGGGAGAGUGAAAGAAAGGGCUCAAGGAGAAGAAAAAGGAAAUUAGGGCAAACUUGGCAAGAAGAUCCCCAGCAAUUGGUGCCUGAUUUCAUCACUUUCGUGAGAAGAGCAACCUUGCUAGACUUUCCGAGAAAACUCGAUUGGUGUGAAUUCAAAAUCUGGUCAUUAGACAUAUCAAGAGUAUACUUGUGAUGGAUAGCUUAGUGCGAAUCGUUGAGCGACCGCCAUUUUAGUAGUAGUUAAGGAAGACUUAUAUUUUGUAU